GGCAUUUUGCCUCCAGUUUGCUUCCCCAAAAUUAUUGUAAGUCAAGAACCAAUGAAGAAGAUGCCUGAAAAGCAGGGCCAAGAGAGAAAUAUGUCUGCAAGAUGGCUAGGUGUGGAGAAACUGCAGCUACCGCUUUCUGAACUAGUUAAGGUAAUAAGCAAACAGACAGAAUAUAGACAUCACACAUUUAUCAACCAGGUGCUACACUCCCUUCGAGAGAGGCGGUAAGUUAAGAGAACCAUGCCUCUUUGUGUGGUCAGACUGUGAAUGAAUAUUUGUGUAUAGUUAUGAGAAUUAUGUAUAAGCGGCUAAAAAAACACAGCUGUCAUUGUUGUCACAGCAAGCAAGAAAUGUUGCAGAACAUAGGAAUGGUUGGAAGCAUGCAUCAAGUGACAACACACAGAUAUCAAGAAGAACAUAGUGCCAGUAAUACUCAAUUCACAUGGAAAAUAAUAAGCUGAAUAUUCAAACCUAUACAUAUAUCUCAUACUGAUACAUUUUUGGCUUCUACACAGCAGGAUGAAUAUUUUAAAGCCACUUGUUCUACCUUCCAGUGUUUUUACUUCUGCUCCUAGUCUUCACCAUAAUUAUUUAUUGUUUGCCAACAAAAGGACAUAUUUAUCCAACUUUAUGAGCCGUAUGAAAAUAGAUCUUGCCACAGCUCGAGUGCAAUUCUGCCAUUUUCUAUU